UUCAAUUUAUCCUGAAGUGAUUUCGAUAUUGUCAAUCAGUUAUUUUGCUUGAGUGGUGUUGCUUCUCCUCCCCUGGAUUGAAAAUAAGUCUGGUGAAAAGAACUGGAAUGUUUACAUCUCAAACUUCCUCAAAUUAGUUCAUAAAAAACCAGAGUUUUUUUUUUUUUUCUAGAGUGGAGUUGCUUCUCCUGUUGUAGUUCCUUACUGUGUUUUUGCUUGCAAGGGAAUGGUUUGUGGCUGCUGGGUUGGCUUCUCCCGGCCUUGAGUUUUUCAGUGUCUAUAACAUUCUUUUUGUAGUGUGUUUGUUUUUGCAAGUUGCCUUUCUUUGUAUUUUUUUGGCUUAGUGUUCCAUUUAUUGUAGCUUAUUUGAUGGACAAGAUAUUGCAGGUAAAAUUGGUCUAUAGCUUUUUGUUUUUUUUUCCCCAUUGUUAUUAACAACACAAUCUUUGAUUUUAACCUAUGUGAUCAUAAUGUUUACUUAUAUGCGACUGUCUUGAGUUUACUUGACUUGGGUAAUAACAUUUCACUAGUUUGUUACUUGCAUUGAUCGCUCAAUAUUCAUUAAUAUUACUACUUAGAUUAAUUUAGUUAAUUAUGUAAUGCUUAAUUUGUGUGUGUACAUGAAUUUCAAGUGUUAGUUUUUAAUAUUGUAUUCAUUUUAGGCUAGUGUUAGAGAAUGUUUGUCGAGUUCAUUAGAGGAGGACAUUAUUCCAUCGCUGUCUAUUGCUAUGGGCAAUUUGCUGGAGCUACUGUCAAAGCUUAUCUCUAAGAAAUAUUACAUUGAGUAUGUUAAAAUGGUGUAAUGGCUUAUAAAUGCGGGAGACGCUUGACUUGCAAGCCUGCCAAUUGCAUCUAAUCUUUGUGCAGGUUGGCAUUGUUCACGCUAUAAAUAAGCUUCAUAGUGAUCUACCAGGUUUGAGCUUAGCUGUGUCCCUUCAUGCACCAAUUCAAGAGUUUGUUGCCAGAUAAUGCCUGCAGCUCAAGCUUUUCCUCUGGAAAAACUUACGAGGGCACUUCAUGUAUAUCAAAAGAAUAGUCAGCAAAAAAUAUUUAUUGAGUGCGUUGUGCUGGAUAAGGUGAAUGAUAAAGAGCCACAUGCUCACCAGCUUGGCAAACUGCUAGAGACAUCUCAAUUGGUAACAAUUGAUGUUGCAAGUCCAGAAGCAGCUUGUAGCCGAAGUAGAAAUUGUGGAACCAGGUUUCAAAACUGCUAUCAUUUCAAAGUCUGGUGAAGGUGUAGCUCAUGUAUCUCCCUUGGAGAAAAUAUGCUUCUAAGCCAUCUCUUGCUGAAAAGAUAGAAGAGGAGAAGCCAAAACCUAAAGUUGAAACAGCACCUGUCAUGGAUAAGCAGCCUAAAGCACCCUCUCUGCCACCUUCUAAGCACUCUGCAACCGAGCCCCAGCUUCCACCUGAGGACAGGGAAGGACAGGUUCCUAUGACAAGGCGACAGAAAAGGGUUACUACAACAUUGAAGGACUCUCAGAAUACAUUUGCAAUGUUGACAACAUUCAAUGAAGUUGAUAUGCAUGUUUAGUCCUACUGUAUUGAAUGUUGCCUGUGCCACUUUUUCAUAUUUAUGGCACUAGAUAUUAUGAUUUUCUUUUUUCUCAUUUUGUACAUCUGGUGUGCAUGUGUUCUUGCCAACAAAUGUAGAAGGCUCUCUUAAUUUUUAUAUUCAUGCAAACAUGUUACCCUUGUUUUUCAAGUCCACCACCACCCACCUUGUAAUUAGAUAACUCACUUACCUUGUGCUUCUACUGCUUUAUAAAUUCAUCUAUAUCUUGCAAUUUCUGGAUGAUUUAUUUUAUUAUGCUAUUAAUCUUUUUUCCAAAUUAAAACAAGGAGCAGCUCUCCAUAUGUCCAUGUAUUCCCUGUUUUUUAAGCUCUGCUGUCUUGCACAGGGCAUGACAUCUUGUUAGGAGUGUUAAAUGAAAGAAAGAGACGACAAAGGCACAAGCAUAAGACAGGACAAGUGUCACUCAAACAAAAAUUAAGGUUGGACCACAAACACAGAAGACUGGAACCUGGCAAGAGCAGAGCAAGGGAGAUGCUUAUGGAGAGAAAAUAAAAGCUGGAAAUGAAUCAAGAGGAAGGAAGGGAAGAAACUAGAGGUAAAGGGAGUGAAGGGAGAGUUUUCAGACUUUAGAAUGCUGGAUAGUCUAUGUUUUUGUAUUUUUUUUUUUUUUGGCUGAGUUAUGCUGAAUACAGUAGCAGAGAACUGUCUUUGUAUUACUGUAACCUUACCAAUACAAUUAGUAUUUUUCAUACAUUGCUCUUGAAUUUAUUUACUACAUAUUUUCA